UGGGGAAUUUUGGACAAUGGGCGAAAGCCUGAUCCAGCAAUGCCGCGUGUGUGAAGAAGGCCUUCGGGUUGUAAAGCACUUUUGUCCGGAAAGAAAUGGCUCUGGUUAAUACCUGGGGUCGAUGACGGUACCGGAAGAAUAAGGACCGGCUAACUACGUGCCAGCAGCCGCGGUAAUACGUAGGGUCCAAGCGUUAAUCGGAAUUACUGGGCGUAAAGCGUGCGCAGGCGGUUGUGCAAGACCGAUGUGAAAUCCCCGAGCUUAACUUGGGAAUUGCAUUGGUGACUGCACGGCUAGAGUGUGUCAGAGGGGGGUGAGAAUUCCACGUGUAGCAGUGAAAUGCGUAGAGAUGUGGAGGAAUACCGAUGGCGAAGGCAGCCCCCUGGAGUAACACUGACGCUCAUGCACGAAAGCGUGGGGAGCAAACAGGAUUAGAUACCCUGGUAGUCCACGCCCUAAACGAUGUCAACUAGUUGUUGGGGAUUCAUUUCCUUAGUAACGUAGCUAACGCGUGAAGUU
rnacentral:rRNA from 1 species